CAUGCCAAGCCAAGGAGUUUGGAGUUUAAUCUGAAAUAUGUGGGGAAUCAUUAGGGAAGCAAGCAUGGAGAUGACGUGAUUAUGUUGUAGAACAGCACUAUGCAAUAGAACCUUAUGCAAUAAUGGAAAUGUUCUCUAUCUGCACUGCUGAGUAGGUAACCAUAAGCCACAGGGGCUAUUGAGUACUUAAAAUGUGUGGCUUGAGUGACUGAGAAAUUGAAUUUUAAAUUUUAUUUAAUUUUAAUUUAAACUUGAAUAGCUCCAUGUGACUAGUGGCUACUAUUGGACAACACCGUUCUAGAAAGAUCAUUUGGAGAAUGGAUUGAAGGUGAUUUGGAGAUUAUGGACAAGGCCAGGAAUGAUGUCUUAUUCCUUUCUCCAUUCCAACCUGCCACAGUGCUUGACAAGUUAUAGAUACUCAAAAUGUAUUUUUGGGGGGCUGGCCCUGUGGCCAAGUGGUUGAGUUUGCGUGCUCUGCUUCAGUGGCCAGGGGUUUCGCCAGCUCGGGUCCCGGGCGCAGACAUGGCACCGCUCAUCAAGACAUGCUGAGGCGGCAUCCCACAUGCCACAACUAGAAGGACCCACAACUGAAAAAACAUACAACUGUGUACCAGGAGCCUUUGGGGAAAAAAAAGCAAAAAUAAAAUCUUUAAAGGCUUUAAAAAAAGAAGGUAUUUUUGUAACCAAAUGUGAUGAAGAUGAUGGUGACGAUGAUGGGGUAGGAGGAUGAUUUCACUCCUUCCAAGAGAAAUAAAGAGCUUUUCCAGCUUUAAGAACUAGCCUUCAGUUUAGAAUAGUAUAUUAGUCAAGGUAAUCAACAAAGGCCACUGUUAAAUACAAUUUCCAAAUAUAAGUGCUAUAACCCGAAACAAGGCUAUUACUUACUUAUGAACCUCUGGUGUAGGUCGAGGCUCCUUCCCUCAUGUGGCUCUUUCAUCUUAGAGUCUUUGCUUCCGGCUAUUUAGAUGGGAGAAAAUGUAAAGAAGAUAUACCAGGUUUUAAUCCAGUUGGCCUCGAAGUAGUAGUCAUCACUUCUGCUCAUAUUCCUUUGGCCAGAGCUGAGGAGCACAGGGCCCAUCUAACUACAGCGUGGCCUGGGAGAUGUAAUCUUCCCAUGUGUCCAAGAAGAGACUCCAAAAUGGUGAACAUUAAAAGUUUCUGGCCAUUCUCUGCCCUUCUGGAUGCCGAGUAUCAAUUUUACUCUUCCUCUCACUCAUGGAGCACACUCACCUCAUUUUAAGGAAGACAAUGCAAGGUCCCCUCCAAUCACCACCUCCAGAUCAAUGUCCAGAAUACCCAGGUGAUGCGCCAUCUUCUCCAUUAGUCUAACAUUAAAAGGCCAAGUUAUCUGCACCCUACUUCCCCACCAUCACAACCCAUUUAUAAUGGCAGAAAAGGGGCAGGAAAAUAACGCCAUUUGAAAAGAGAAAUAAUAGACAAUAUGCAGCAUCACAGCCCACAGCCAAGCUGAGACU
rnacentral:lncRNA from 1 species